AAAUUACCUUUUCCUAAUCUCAUUUACCUCCCGUUUAAUCAUGGUGCGUUCCAUGAACCUGGGAGUUUAGAAAUUUGAAGAAAAAUGUUAAGAGGAAUGCAGCUGAACGUCGAAUGUCCUACGAGUGAAGAAGAGGCAACGCGAAUAACCCUAACUUGGGCCACAUAAACACCAAUCAUCAUUGUCCUCUCUGGGCUUCUGUACAAAGAUGGCGGUAUGACGUGGCAGACUUGACCUUUAAUGCUGUCGUAACAGUGGAAGUCGCUGCUACAGAGACUUAAGAUGAGGCUUUGGCCUCAAGACAACAACCAGGAAAUCCUCUUUACAGCUGGAACAGAAAAGGUCUUCACUGAGCGCUAAUCACGUGAGACACAAGGUAAGAAGAAGAAUCCCUUGCUCUUUUUAAGAACUAAGUCAAAUGGAGCUACCCUUCCUUUCCCUGCAGGUGGAGCUGAAAACAUAGUUUAAAUGGCUUCUUCGCAAAGUGGAGUGUACUGUGGAAACAUUUUGUUUUAUUUAAAUCUAAUCUUGUAGAUUAUAAAUAAAAAA